UGCGAGCAUCUGGUAUCUUCAUGCAUGCAAAUCGGCGCCGCCGCUGAACGAGAUGUGAAAAUGCUUGCGAUCUUCACAGCAUCAUCAUCUGCAUGCAAGCAACAUAACAGCAAGAAGAGAAGUCGGUGCUGCUGUUUUCAGUGUGCGAGCAAUUCAUUCAGAUAAGCAAGUCUUUUGUCAUCUGCAGUACAUCAACACUAUCAAAGGUUAAACGAGUAUGGUGGUAGGGUCACUCAAGUGGAAAUUACAGGUAAUAUAGAGGGUGAAUUUCGGAGAUAAUAACAAUGUAUACGCGUCGCUCUCCGCUACCAGAUCAAGGAGAGUCGAGUUCUGGUAGCUCAACUUCCGCUGCAUCAUCUAGCUCAUCUGACCCAAGAUCUCCAUCCAAGCCGUCAAAAAACAGACAACCGCGACCUGAACUGUCGACCCCACUUCCCAUGGAAACGAUCCAAUCGUUCAAUGCAGCAUACAAUGCCGGGCCAGUUUAUAUCAGCGAAGGUUUAGGCAGCCCUGUUCAUGGUAGAGGUUCUCCGAAUUCUAGCUCCAGCGGCAAGUCAAACUCCCCCACACAUAGCCGGUCUAGCAGCCUCGGCUCUACCCACGGCAUGAGCAACAACUCCCCUCAGGCACAGGCGGCUAUGCAAGCCGCAGUCAUGGCGGGCCAGCAUCAUGAAGAUAUUCGUCAUGGACAUGGUGGUGGAAACAGAGACAUAGUACACAUGGAUAUACACACUCAAAUAAGGGAAUAUCAGAGAGAUAAUGACAGCCUUCGUCAGGAGCUUGACAACAGGGACACUAAACUGAAUUCCAGCAUGAAUAGUAUCAAGACAUUUUGGAGCCCAGAGUUGAAAAAAGAACGAGCUUUGAGGAAGGAAGAAGCAGCCAAAAUACAGUCACUCAAAGAGCAAUGUCGAGUAGCUGUCGAAGAAAAUCAGCAUUUCCUACGGACAAUAAGGGAGCUGAAGGAGCAACUGCAGCAUCGGGAACACAACCUACGACACUCGCCCAAUGGGGACGUUCCAAACGGUGGCUCCUCCUCACAGGGGACAGUCGGCCACCUGCAGCAUGAGGUGGACAGUCUUAGGACAGAGAGGGACAGGGUCUCCAGGGAGGUGUUCCUCCUCCGCAAGACCCUGGAAGAGAUGGAGCUGAGGAUCGAGACCCAGAAGCAGACUCUGACGGCCAGGGACGAAAGCAUCAAGAAGCUGCUGGAGAUGCUCCAGAGUAAAGGGUUAAACACCAAGAAGCUGGAAGGAGACCAGGAGGACAUGGACAGGAUGCGAUCCAAGGUGGUGGAAUCAGAGACGAGGGUCAUCAAGCUUCAGAAGCUCCUGGAGCAGAGGGACAAGGAGAUGGGCAGUUUCAUGAAUGAGAAUCGUGAUGACAAUGUUGGAUCAAGGUCAAACGGCACAGCGGGACAGACAGAUGACAGCAGCACAAGAUUAAAGAUCAAGCUUGACCAACUGAAAGGAAAGCUGAGCCUUAAGGUAGCAGAGCUGCAGGCCCUCCUGACCAAGUUUGAGGCAAUGAAACACAAAGAGCGAGAUCAACAGGCUCAUAUUAAUCUGCUCAAGGAAUCAUUAGCUGCCAAAGAACAACACUCUAGUAUCCUGCAAGCCGAUGUGGAGGCCCUAAGAUUUCGGUUGGAAGACAAGGAGCACCAACUAAACAAACAGGAGGUUGUCAUGACAACCAUUAACACUGACAAAUCCAAGCAGUCUUCAGAAGCUGAUGAGCUUCGAGAGAUGAAUGAACUCAAAGAACGAAAGAUAGUGGCACUCCAACGAAAGCACGCUGAUUUGUCAAAAGGAAUGGAGCUACAGGGGAGCAAAUUAAAAAUUCUGCAAGUGAAGAACGAGAGCUUUCUAGAGCAGCUGAAGGAGCGAGACAGUCAGACGUUGUCACUUCGCGAUCGCCUCACUGCUCUCCAGGCCGACCAGAGCAGCUCCGACAGCGCUGUGUCCAGUCUGGAGGACGCCCUCAUUGACAAGGACCGGACAAUUGAGAAGCUGAGGGCGGAGAAGGAGCAGGAGAUCAAAGAGAAGGAAGAAGCAAUCGGGAGACUGACAAAGCAGAUUGAGGAGCUCAAGAUGCAGACUGAAGAACUUCAGAAGAGCACGUCAGAAAAGGAGGCGUCUUUCCUUGAUCUGAAGGAGCAUGCCUCGACGGUAGCAUCAGGAGCCCUCAAGAAGGACUCCAGGAUCACCACCCUGGAGAUCCAGCUUGCUCAGAAGACAGAGGAGCUCAUACAGGCUGAGAGUGAACUCAAGAAAAUGCAUCGUAGACUACAGGCGCUGAAGGAUGAGAAGGAGUCCACCCAUGCUCAGGAGAUCCAGGAGCUGCAGGGAUCCGUGUCUGCGAUGAAGGAUGAGGUCCGCAAGUCGCAUGCAGAGGUCGACAGGCUCCUGGAGAUCAUGAAGGAGAUGGAAGGAGAGAAGAACGACAAGGAGAAGAGGAUUAAAGAUCUGGAGAGCAUAAUGAGAAAACAUUGCCCAGGCCAAUUGAAGGAUGCGAACAAGAAGCUGGUAGCUGUCAAGCGAGACCAGCAGACUCAGAAGCGUAAGAAUGCUCAACUCCUGGAGGAUUCUAGGAGAAGAGAGGGAGAGCUCUCCUCAGAUACACACCAGCUACAGGAUAUGGUGAAGGAGAAAGAAGAUCGUGUAGAGGAGUUGGCUGAGGCUCUUAAGGAAAGUGUGACGAUAACGGCAGACAGAGAAAUGUUGAUUGCACAACAGACCGAAGCCGUCUCCAAGCUGAAAAAACAGCUUGAAGAUGUAAGGAGAGAACUGGAUGAAGUAAGGAAACAACUGUCUAUGGCCAGCAACAAGAUUGCUACAACUCAAGUCCUUCUCAAAGAGAAAGAAAUCAAGCUAAGAGCUGUACAGGCUGAGGGAAGGAAACAUCUAGAAGAGACCCUUUGCAUGAAACAAGAAGCCCUGACUGCAGCCAUUGGUGAGAAGGAUGCUCACAUCGCCCUCUUGGAGCUGAAUAGGAAAGGUCUCAAGUCGUCGGAAGAACUCAAGCUUCUAAAGAAAGAGAAGGAUGCUCUGGUACAGCAGCUCAAAGAUGAGACACAGAAGAGGAUGAAACUGCUUCACAACCACAACGAUGGUGAAAAAUCACCGCACAUGGAACAUUCUCCCAUCACACCAGAACAGGAUGAUGAGGAUGGUAUAUGGGCCUAGGGCAGGGCUCCCUCUAUACAGCUACCCCAAGUUCCCUCAUGCAUAAAAUAUUGCGUUUUGCAGGACAGUUCCAUGGAGGGGUUCAUAGCGUGACUCUGUGAAGACUGGACGGCAAGCUUCAGAUAUUCCUCCAGCUCCAGUGUAUAAAGACAUAUCUAAUUUCUUCAUGGUCUUAAAAAUCAACUUGGAUAUGGAGCAAUACUCAUGUAAUCAAGUCAUACUUUAAUGCAUUUACCCAGUUUGAAAGUAUCAUGAACAUAAUCAAGUCAUAGAAGGGAGGAUGUGGAACAGUUAAUAUUCUCUUUCAGAGGAAAUAUUGCAAUAUCUUUUAGGCAAUCAAUGAUAAACAGAGAAGCACUCUGCAGAGUGCAAGCGACAAAUCUAUAUUGUUUAUUUGGGAUUGGAGGUUAGAGCCUUCCAUGUGCAUAUGGUUUGUGAGCAAUCUUAACUUGGUGCUUUGUUAAUUCAAAUUUUAUCUAAUUCUAUAUGAAAAUAUUGAAUUUCAUAUGCCUCAUUGACACUUGCCCGCAUUUUGGUCCCGCACUGCCCCGCUCUGUUGCGUGCCAAUGCGUGCCAAUUAGUGACACGCAGGGUCACGUCAAAUUUACGAAUAGUUCACACGAUGCGUAACCACCAGGACACGCAUUCGUAGACUAUGCGCAAGGCAUGCGAAAACUGCGCACGAAGUAUGCACAGCCAAUGCGCAAAUUAGUCGUUAACUAGUCGUGAACAUGCGUGCCACUAGGCCAUAAGAUACGCAGCGGCGCGCACUGGUACGACUAGGCAGCGCAUAGGGUGCGCAUAGUUCAUGAAGUGUUCACGCACGUUGCCAAACAAAAUUGUCGUGCCAAAAUUUUGAACAUUUUGAAAAUUCUGUCACGCAUUUCACUCACGGCCCGCAUCCGCCCGCAUCCUCCCGCACGCUACCACGAAUACUUCCCGCAUUGGCACGCAAGAGUAUGUGUCUAUGCGCAAACCAAAAUGCGGGCAAGUGUCACCGGGGCAUUAGAGUACUAGAUUAUCAGUGCAUUCCACACUCUUUUUUUAUGAAUUUUCUUCUUGAUCCGAGUACUUCAAAAUUGAUACAGUUCUACAAAAUGAUGUAUAUUCACUAAAUUUUGAAUUCUACAUUUUCAGGAGGUUUGUA